CAGGAUUGUUGGUAGGGUUACUAAUUAAAAAAGGGAAUUUUUUCCUUCACCAGCAAAUUCACAUUUUAGCACAGAGAAGCAGAACCGAAAACAUAGCUUAGUUCCCAUGUCAAUCCCGGUUUGUGGUAAUAACCCUGCUCAAGUGACGGUGCCUCUUUAAAUAAUUUUAUGAUCACGCUUAGCAAUGUCCUGCACUAAGUGCCUAUGGUAUAUCUGGCCAGCUGCCACUUCAUCUGUACAAGAACCAAAUGAUGGCACGCAGGAGACUAAAUAUGGCUUUUUAUUCACUCAUGUGCGCAAUGCACCCAUUGACCUAAAAACAUCCCUGCUUUUAGUUUUGCUGCAAAUAUUACAUUAAGCAAGGGCUCCUGCAGUGAGCCACUCAGCUGUGUCCUCUUCCCCCCUGACAUUUCCUAGCAAUAGAUUGCCGCAGGCGAGCUUUCUAUGGCGUUCAUAACGCACAAGGCCAUGACUUGCAGGGCUCCAGUGUGCUGCCGUCUGAAGAAAAGGGCAGUUUAAUAUUCUGCAGGGACAAUUCCCAAACUAUUAUGUGCAAAGCUCUAGAUUUUGUGAAUGUACUAUACACAGCAAUGGAGCGAAUCAUUGGGACAUAUUCACUAAGCAUCUCAUUUCUUGCAGCAAAUUUCAUUUGGCUUUUAUUUAAUUUAAAUAUGGGUAAAAUGAGUAAAGGGGAUUCCGUUGCAGCUUGGGUAUUUGUGAAUAAUAUAAUUACCAAACGGAUAUAGAG